CAUAAAAUAAAACAACCCCAUGUGGCUUAAGUGCAUCCGCUAGAAAUCAACACUCCCAUACAACAUCGCUGAAAAAGCUAAGAUUUGAAAUCCCCACCCCAGAUUUCCGACAAAAAGGAAGUAGAAACCAAACAUAAGCAAAUCUGAUUAUUGGAAUACAACCAAGAUCAAUCAGUUUCAUUUAAACAUGGAACCACGAGAGAUUGACUAGCCAUGGCGGCGUUGGUCUGAACGUCGGUGUACCUCGAGAUAAGCGCCGAGCGUAGCCAAUAAAAGUCGCGAAGUACAGAUUGAAACCUCGAGGUGUGCUCUCAUGGUCUGCUUCAUCUUUCUCCAGAUCUUGUUUUGAUCUCGCCGGUACCUGCUUCAUCUUGUCUUGUUUUGUUCUGUUGGAUCUAGGUUUUGAUUGAAGGAUCUGCUGGAUUAGUUUGAUGAGGCGGCUGGAAUAGAGGGCUGAGAGAGAGAAGGGGAUAGAAAUUAAAAUUUCAGAUCUGUAAGAUAUAAUUUUAUUGAAUUAAUUUUAAUGUUUGAUAAAUAUGAUUUGACAUAUUUACCCUCAAAUGAUUAAUAAUUGUAAAAAAAAUAUUUGAAAUAAUUUUUUAAAUUACACAUAAGCAUGUUUAUGCCUAGUCAUUUAUUUAUAUUGAAAAAACUAAGCCACAUAAGCGCGCCACGUCAAAGUUCCGUUACAAAUUUAACAGUUAAGACGAAAUUUAAAUUUUUUGUUAGUAAAUAAGGGUUCAAUGAGUUGACUGUAAGAAAAAACGAUUGAGUGACUCACCUGUAAGUUGAUAUAUAGUACAAUGACCAAAUAAGCAUUUAACCCGCAGAAAUAGUAGAUAGACAAGUAUUAUGGGCAGAAGAAAUACCAGAAUAGGAGAGAGAAACAAAAGAGAAUGUUGGGUACAACUUCGUUUACCUUUUCGCAGGGCAAUAGGUUUAUCUAAAUCAAACUGGUCAGGAUCAGAAGAAGAUUUACCAGCGAUAUAUCUGUUCUGGGACGACAACUGUACACAUUACGAAUCUUGAGAACUGGUUGAGAUGGAGGUGUAGACCGAAUGAUGUAAG
rnacentral:lncRNA from 1 species